rnacentral:rRNA from 1 species
CUACGGAGAAAAAGCAGGGGAUCUUCGGACCUUGCGCUAUUGGAUGAGCCUACGUCGGAUUAGUUAGUUGGUGGGGUAAAGGCCUACCAAGGCAGCGAUCCGUAGCUGGUCUUAGAGGAUGAUCAGCCACAUCGGGACUGAGACACGGCCCGAACUCCUACGGGAGGCAGCAGUGGGGAAUAUUGCACAAUGGGCGCAAGCCUGAUGCAGCUAUGCCGCGUGUGUGAAGAAGGCCUUAGGGUUGUAAAGCACUUUCAGUAGUGAGGAAAAGUGUUGCGUUAAUAGCGCAAUGCUGUGACGUUAGCUACAGAAGAAGGACCGGCAAACUCCGUG